GGUUGAGCAUGUCUGAAUGGAUGACAUAUGUCGUGCUGAAACAGACCCCUCGAAGGAUCACCACUAUAACUACCAGAUCCUCGAGGCCUUUUGGCCUUUCUCCUGACAACGAACAUACUCAAUCUCGCCGGAAAUUACCACAAUCUCCGCGAAGGCAGCCCCAGUCACCUUUUCCCUGGUCAUGAGAAUACAAAGUUAAUAAGUGAGGCCAUCAACAAAUCUCCUAAUCCUCUCUCUAUGUAUCAAAACCAACCAAACGACAUGACGAGCUAACUCGGAGAACCUCAACUCAUACUACGACACGGUCAUCUCUCCCUGAUGCAACCACUCAAACUGCCUAUGCAGCUCCUCUCUGCGAGACUGCGGCACAUACUUCUCCAGAGAGAGAACGGAGAACUGUUGCCAGGUAAGGGGAGCUGCACCAACAGGCCUACGCCUCUCAAAAUGCUCCCACCAAGUGAAGGCAAUUCUAGAAAACUGAGAAGUAUCGCAAGCGACUCUGCUCUCCAGAAUACCUGUUGUACGAAGCAUCCUCUAACACUUAUCCAAGAAACCCUGGGCAUCCCCGCCCUCUGUACCACUGAAUGUCGGAGGCUAACGUCUACCAACCUCUCCAACUUACGUUGCUCAUCCUCUGGCAUGGCAGGAACUACAUAGUCCUAAGUAGUUGCAAUCGGCUGGGCUUGAUGUGCCCCAGCAUCUGAAGUGCUUGCACGACCUGCUCAAGUUUGCGAGCGAUGGGAGUCUGAUUGCCUCCCCCGGCUUGAGAAGUAGCUGCAGAUGUAGUAGCUAAGACCGCCUGAGCUAGACCAGUGCAAACUGAUAGAAUCUGAGCCAAGUCCUCCUAAGGACCCGGAAUCACAAUGGACACAGGUGGUGCCUAAACGGGUGCUGCUGAAGCGUCCAUAACUGGGCCUGAUCCUGAACUGGGGCAGUUGGCGGAUCUGCAGGUGUUGCCCUAGAUAUUGCACGGGCAACAACUAUGCCCCUACCGCAACCACGACCGCGUCAUCGGCCUCUAGUGGCCACAGCUGGUGGUAUUGGUGUCAUCCAUCCUCACCAGUAGCAUGUGUCCUCACCAUCUAUGAGAGAAUAGAAUAACAAAAGUUUAGUACUCGGAUCAACAAAUUCGCAUGACAACAAUUUGAAGAAUAUGAAGUUUGUCCUAAAGGUUAUGCAGCCUCUCGAGGAUAAAUACAGACGUCUCCGUUUCGAUCAGUGAGACUCUACUAAACCUGCUCAUGACUUAUGAGACCUAUGUAAACUAGGCUCUAACAACUUGUCACGACCCUAAACCCGAACCCGGUCAUGAUGGCGGCCUCUCGAGAAGACAAGGCCAGCCGACACUUCCCAUUUUAGUAUUUAACAAUUAAAAAUUAAGAAACAGUCUAAAACAUGAUGAAAUAAACCAAAGUUUAAGCAGAUAAUAGCAUGAUUUGCGGAAUACAACCCAACAUAGCCUGAUAAAGGGGUGUCACUAGUCAUGAGCAUCAAAACAAAUCUGGAAUAUCAAGAAGAAAUCCAUAGAGUUUAAUACAAAAACAAAGAAUAAGGAGAAAUAAGAUAGGUAAGAAGCUCCAGGCUACGAAUGCCGACAGCGACCUAGAGACUCCCUGAAUUCUCCUGAGCUAGAAAGAUCAGCACUCGGCAGCAGGACCAUAUGCACAUGAAUCUACAUACGGGGUGCAGGGAGUAAAGUGAGUACUACAACUCAAUGAGUAAUAAACAUAAAUGAACACUGAAAGUGGGAAAUCACGUAAGGCACAUUGCAGACUAUAAUGAAGCAGUAAAAGCAAUAAAAGAUAUGUGGAAGUCAUUUAGCUAAAAUUAAAGUUCAUGAAAAAAAACCUUUUUCAACAAUUAAGCAGGUAAAUGACAGGGAAUUAAGGAAAUAAACACAUAAAGAUUCACCCCUCGGGCACAGUAUCAACAAAUCCGCCCCUUGGGUAUCUCACGACAAUACCAGCCCCUAGGGCUAUAUCCUACAUCACAAUGGGUACCCCCGCUCACUAGGGUGUGCAAACUCCUGAAGGGGCCCCUUACGGCCCAAACGCAAUAUCAAGUCAUCUCGUGGCAUCAUCACUAAGCUCUCGGCCUCAUAUCAGUCAAGCAUCUCGUGGCGUACAUAUCUCAUGCCCUCGGCCACAAAUCAUGAUCAAUGUCCCCUCACAACAUAGGCCCUCGGCCUUACUCAUUUAAAAAUCCUCAUAAGCUACUCGGUAGUAGUAAAAUAGGAUUUCUCAACCCAAUUAUCAUUUAAAAGAUCAUAUAAGCGAUAAAACAUACUAAACAUGGCUGAGUAUGAAAACAAUGAAAUAUAUAUCAUGAUAGAGUUCAAGUAUAAAGUCAAAACAAUGAGGAAAUUUCAAUAAAAAUCCCUGAAGGGUUCAAAUAGUUGCACGAGUUCCAAAUAUGGCAUUCAAUCCAAAUAAUGAUGAUAGCAAAUAGAUUUUAGUCAAAUACGCGGUAAAAUAGUCAUUCAGGACAGAUUAAGUCACAAUCCUCAAUAGUGCAUGACCCCACACUCGUCAUCAAGCGUGUGCGUUGCGUCAAUAUAGCACAACGAUGUGCAAACUGGGGUUUCAUACCCUCAUAACAUCAUUUACAAUCUUAACUCACCUCAAUCUAGUCAAAUCUCUAGCCCGUGAUGCCUUUGCACCUCGAAUCGGCCUUCACUCGCAUUGAAUCUUUCCAAAAUCAGAAUCAAGACGUCAAAUAUGCUAAGGGAACGAAGCCCAAGCAAAAAUAAUCAAUAUACGACACAAAUCCCAAAAUUAUCAAAACCCGACGCCCGAGCCCACGUCUCGAAAUUCGAUAAAAUUCAAAUUGAUGGAUUCCUUCUUUUUCCACGAGUUCAUAUAUACCAAAAGUGCCAAAAUCUGACCACAAUAGAUCCCUCAAAUCCUCAAGUCUAGGUCUCCAAUACCAAGCCCUAAUUUCCCCAAUUUUAACUCUUAAAUUCCAUUAAUUAUAUCUUUAAUCCGUGAAAUAAUAGCAUAGGAACGAGUUUUAGGUCCAAAAUCCUUACCUCAAUGAAGUUCCCUUGAAACCUCUCUUCAGAAUCGUCCAAAAGCUCCAAAGCCGAGUCAAAAUGGUGGAAUAGCUCAAAAAUCAUGAAGUAAACAAUUUAUACAUUCUAGCCCUCACAUUUUUGCAUUUACGGAAAAUUUACCGCUUUUGUGGUACUGCAUUUGCGGCCAAACAACCGCUUCUGCUGUUUUUCACUUAAAUUCCCAUUUUCCGCACCAGCGGUCCCAUAUCCGCAUCUGCGACAUCGUAGGUGCGGUCUUCCUAACUGCUUCUGCAUUUCUGCCACCCUAGCACAUUUCCGCUUCUGCGGCUCCCUUCCUCGCAUCUGUGGCAUCGCACCUGCAGUCCCCAAUCCACAGGUGCGGAAAUACCAAAAGCAAAAAAAUCUGCAUCUUCUCAAAAUCUCAAACUCCUCCUUCAACCAUACGAAAUAACCCCGAGGACCCCGUGACCUCAACCAAAAAUACCAACAUAUCCCAAAACCUUAUUCAAACUUGUACCAAUCUUAAAAAAACCUCAAACAACAUCAAAUCAACCAAAAUAAAUUGGAUUCAAGCCUAAGUUCCCAAAAUCUUCCAAAUUUCGUUUUUGAUCAAAAAUCCAACCAAACCAUGCCCGAAUGACCUGAAAUUAUGCACACACAUUCCAAAUAACACAGUGAAACUACUUCAACUCUCGGAAUUCUAUUCCGACCCCUAUAUCAAAAUCUCGACUACCAACCGUAAAUCGCCAAAAUAUCAACUUCAUCAAUUCAAGCCUAAAUCUACUCCGAACCUCCAAAACUCAUUCUGAUCACGCUCCUAAGUACCAAAUCACCUCUCGAAUCUAACUGAACCAUCGAAACUCACAUCUGAUCUCUCUAACACAUAGCUCAAUAUUUGGUUGACUUUUUCAAAUUAAGCUCCCUCAAAAGAGACUAAGUGUCUCAAACCUUAUCAAAUCAUUUCCGAACCCGAUCCAACCAACCCGAUCACACAUAGAAUUGAUAGACAGAGCAAUAAGAAACACAAAUGGGGGAAACAAAAUGGUAACUCAUGAGACGAUUGGUUGGGUCGUCAUGAUUUUAAAUCCUAAAUCGAGGAAAUUUAACUUAUUUUAAGUCUGUGAAACCAAAAGAUCGGGUAAGGAAUUUUGUUAACUUGGGAGAAGGUGUUAGGCAUUUCCGAAUUUCGUAGUUCAAGCACGCCGGUUAACUAUUAAUAAUUGGCCUAGUUAUCUGAUCUAUUACAUGUUUUAAAACUAUUGAGCACUUUUAAUCUUUAUAACCGCUUUUAAUUAUUUUUAAACUCCUUUUAGGAUUUAUGAAGUUAUUAUAAAUCGAAGCUUAAUUCGAAAGAAGAGAGUAGGCUCGAGGAUAGAAGUAGCUCGAACGAAUAUAAGAGGAGGAUCAAAAGACUGAUUCUCGGUCCCCUAAAGUUAGAAAGCUGGUUAGACUGCAAUUUUCUUGAACAAGUUGCAAUUGUCGUACACUUGUGAUUUGAGAAAUGUUUAUUUUUGUUAAGGUUCAAAGGUGUUACGAUCGAUUCACAUGAAAUGCACAUUCGAAUUUUGGAAUUAUAUAUCAUGACCAUGCCACGAGAAUCGUACCCAUGGCUACGACGAUUUAUUAUUAGUCGCGCAUAAAGCAAGCUACGAUGUUCGUGAAUCAUUUUCCUAAUUACUUUGAUAUUAUUGUGAUGCCAAAUUUGUGGACAAGAUAUUGUUGGGGGGCAAAUAGGCUAGCUAACAUGAUUUAUUACUUGGCCAGAUUCCUUAUGGUUCAAGACCUAUCUAUGGCCUAUUCUUCCUUGCCAAGAAGAAACAACUCCAAAUUUUUCAUCUACCCAAUUAAAAGUAUUUAUUCAAGAACCAAGACUGCAGACAUCACAAUUGAAAUAAAAAUAAAUAAAUGAAAACUGUGACAUACUACUCAAUCAACAUAAAAUCACAAAUCAACCAACACACGCAUGAGCUAUCAUAACACAAACAAAAAAGAAGGAAAAUUGAGAAAUGGACCUUUUAUUGAUGAACAAAGCUAAAAAUUGCAAGUCAAUCGGACUACACAAAGCAACAAUCUUUGGACCAAAACACCAAAAUUAUAGAUCGAAACCUCAAAUCGAUACCGUAAAACUCAAAACCAAAGCCACCUCAAUCAAACCCCAUUGAAUUCUACAAUUUCGAAAUCGAAAAUCAGAUGAAAAGUUAAAAUUUCUAUAGACGAAGUGAAGCGAAACAGAGUCUUUCGAUCAAAUAGAACUUCGGCCGAAAAACCAAACCACGACCAAAGAGUCUCCAAACAGCUCCAACGUUAAGCUCUUGUCAACACCAAAUAGCUCUCUAAUAUUUGGAUGAGCAGGAACAAAUCUCAUCUUUCAACAUCUGAAGCAAAGUGGUUUUGCCAACAUUACCAAGUCCUAUAAACAAUAUCUUCGCAUCCUUCUGCCACAAUCCUAGUGAUGCUAACACUCCGUAGAAUUAAUCCAACACAAACAUUGUUUCUUCCUUUUCAUUAAGCAGCGCAGUCAGCUUUUUUGAUCUCAUUCGUGUGUUGUUCUCGCUUAUUUGAUAAGGUGUUCUCCAAAUUAUGAAGUUGUGUAUUUAGCUCAGAAAUGAUCUUCUCCUUGGCAGUCACAGAAGUCUCAAGAGCACUAUUAGCAUCCAAAUUAUCGCUGAAAGUGAAGCGGUAACAAGGGUGUGUUGCGAGUCAAAGCAAGAGAUGAUGCUGCCAUUUUUUGUCUUAGUCUAGGUCUAGG
rnacentral:lncRNA from 1 species